GGCAGGAUGGCCGAGUGGUCUAAGGCGCUGCGUUCAGGUCGCAGUCUCCCCUGGAGACGCGGGUUCGAAUCCCGUUCCUGUCA
rfam:Ciona savignyi cont_17962, whole genome shotgun sequence.